GUUCGAGUAGUACGCGUCGGUUGAUCGUCGCUUGUCAACCUUCGCUGGCAGAGUUGUGUGUGCGUAAAACUCGCGCGUGUGAGUGCAUAGUGUGCGUGUUUGGCGAGAGGUCGUUUAACUUUUUUCCCCGCUGUUUUCUUUUCCGUUAACUCCGCGAUCGGUGGAAGCGAAGGAUAACCAUCGUGUUUCGUUUUCUUUUUCCUUCUGUUUCGUAGAGAGGGCUAGUCGAUAAUGAAACAAUGCAGAGAAAAGUGAGAGUGAACGUGGCCACGUUCGGCCGGUUUGCCGACAGCGUGAAUCACCAACAGAACCGGCGUUCAUGAGCCCACGCAGUGCUUAAACCGAUGCUCGAUUUCUCUCUUUCUCUUCCCUCUUUUGCUCGUUUUCUUACCCUCUCUUCGUGAUAAAUAUCCCCCUCUUGCACGAAAGUGCUGUUAUACACGCGCGUACGCAAACUAUUUCCACGACUGUGUGACAGAUAUAGCGCACAAAGCGUAACAGGACCAAGACACAUAGAAGCAGUGGCGGUAUAGAGAGGGAAGGAAAGAGAAUCGUGCCAAGCAGGACUCACGUGACAUCGUGGAAAUGUCGACCGAAAAUCAAAACGGUUCCGCCGGCACACAGAGUAACGGCAUAAAGACUUCGAUCAGCGUGUCGUCGUCCGCUAGGACGGUAUCGAACAAUUCGUCGUUUUUGUACAGCAGUAAUUCGAUGUUGAAUCGUGAUAAACCGCGUCAAGUGCCACCACCAACAUUGCCGAAAUAUACGUCCAGCUUUAAUGCCGGUUCCAAUGGCAGCGGCACGACCGAACGAUUGAAUAGAGAUCGCGAAGUCGGUGGUAGUUACAGGCUGGCAGGCCUCGACAGACUUGCCCUCAGGCAGAGGAUACUGGACGGCGAAAAGGCGAACGGCGACGCUACGUCGAUACAGGCGAAGCGUGAGCUGUUCUUCAAAGGCGACAACACCGGAAUAAUAUCAUCGCCGUCUGUACCAUCGGUACCGCCACCCCAACCACCGUCACAGGUUCCACCGUCGGUGAGCACGUCAUCAACGACGACCACGACGACCACGACUCUCGCCUCGCCUAACACAGCGCCGCCAGCCUCCUCGACCGUGUACACCAGUGUCACAUCCACGGCGCCUACCUCCAAGCCACGAUUAUAUCCGUCCACGGGGAUUUUGAAUCAAAACGAUGCAUCGGAGGACAGCAAUAAACGAGAGUCGAAUAGGAGCGAGAACAACAAAGAGACCACUGUCCUGCAUCAUCCACGACCAACGCCGUUGACUAAACCCAAAGAACUCGAUGGAUAUGUAGGAUUCGCGAAUCUACCCAAUCAAGUUUAUAGAAAGGCCGUUAAGAAAGGCUUUGACUUUACUCUCAUGGUUGUCGGCGAGUCGGGAUUAGGAAAAUCAACUUUAAUCAAUUCAAUGUUCCUCUCCGAUAUAUACAGUGCCGAGUAUCCUGGUCCUAGUCUUAGGGUUAAAAAAACUGUAGCCGUAGAGACUAGCAAAGUAUUGUUGAAGGAGAACGGCGUUAAUCUCACUUUGACAGUCGUUGAUACACCUGGAUUUGGUGAUGCAGUCGACAAUAGUAAUUGCUGGGUGCCAGUAAUCGAGUAUAUCGAAUCAAAAUACGAGGAGUUCCUGAAUGCAGAGUCUCGCGUAGUGAGACGACAAAUCCCAGACAGUCGAGUGCACUGUUGUCUCUACUUCGUUGCACCCUCGGGUCAUGGCUUGAAGCCGCUGGACGUCGAGUUCAUGCAGCGUCUUCACGACAAAGUUAACAUCAUACCCGUCAUCGCGAAGGCUGACACAAUGACGCCAGACGAAUGUGCUCAUUUUAAAAAGCAGAUACUGAACGAGAUAGCGCAACAUAAGAUCAAGAUCUACGAAUUCCCAGAAGUGGAGGAAGAAGAGGAAAGUAAAUUGCAUAAACUUCUUAGAGAUAGAGUACCGUUUGCGGUGGUGGGCGCAAACACUGUGGUCGAGCAGGAUGGUAGAAAAGUUCGUGGAAGAAAAUAUCCUUGGGGCAUCGCUGAAGUGGAGAAUUUGGAACAUUGCGAUUUCAUAGCCCUACGAAAUAUGGUGAUCAGAACGCAUUUACAAGAUUUAAAAGACGUAACAAAUAAUGUACAUUACGAGAAUUUCCGGUGUCGCACAUUGGCUGGUGUUGGAGUAGAUGGAAAACCAACAAAAGUUUCCAAUAAGAAUCCUUUGGCUCAGCUGGAAGAAGAAAAGAGAGAACAUGAUAAUAAAAUGAAGAAAAUGGAAAUCGAUAUGGAACAGGUGUUUGAAAUAAAAGUCAGAGAAAAGAAACAAAAGCUCAAGGAUUCAGAAGCAGAUUUACAAAGAAGGCACGAACAGAUGCGGCGUUCUUUGGAGCAGCAAGUGCGAGAAUUAGAAGAAAAGAGGCGAGCAUUUGAGGCUGAAAAGUUGGCAUGGGAACAGCAGACUGGACACAGUAUUGAAGAAUUGCGUAGACGCAGUCUAGAAGCAAAUUCAAAAGAGACCGUUGAUGGUAAGGAUAAGAAGAACAAGAAGAAAGGACUCUUCUAAUUCAACUCCAUAAAGACAACAUGAAGAGUAAACGUUUCUUAAUGUAACUAACAACGAUUCUUCUUAAAUUCAAUCAUAUUCAAUAUAUGAUCUUUUUAAGAAAAAUUGAAAAGUAUUUCCAUUUAAUAAAUUUACUAGUAAUCUCUUGAUCUACUCUGAAUCUAAUUAUCUUAGUUUAAUGAUUUAAAAUUAUAUCAAUAUUAUGACUGAUACACACAAUACUUUAUAAAAUAUAUGCGAUGAUUUUUUGUAUUUAAACAUAGUAUUCUUUUGUAAUUAUUUGAAGAUAAAGCGUAGUUCAGGAGAUCAGUGGAUGAAUUAAGAGACAAAAAAUGAAUAUGUGUUGCUUAAAUCACGCGGUUGAUGUGUAUACUGUGUAUAUCGCUCCACGUUUGUACAACUUCCUCAUUUAAUGAUGCGUAAACAUUAUAGUUGCAGGAGUGAGAUGAAAGAAUGAUUCUUCUGUCAUAUUCUCGCCUGUGCUUCUUUGCGCUUCCUAUUAUUAAUAUCCAAGAAAAUUAUACUAGCACAAUUUGACUUACGAUAUUGUACAAAAUGUAGACAUAAUCCCAAGGAACAUCAAAAUUCCUUAGCAAGAGUGAUCAAGUGGAUGAUGAAAGAAGAGAUGAUAAAUCUUUAAAUUUGUUUCUUCUUAUCUUGUUUUCUGUCUUCUAUAUACUUCUCAUUUUCUACUAUCUGUUUAUAUUACUUUUCAAUACUUAUAUAAAUAUUCAUGAUUUCGUGUCAUCGUGCUUGUGUUGUCUUUGAUAUUUAUAUCAAUCUUCUUAGUAUCACGAGUUAUUAAUAUAAAUAUAUCAUAAAAAUAUCAGUGUUAAGACCAUAAAGAUCAAGUAAGUUCGUUAUAAAAAAAAUGCUAGAAUCAUGCUGAUAAUUUUGAUCGCUCUUGUGAAAUUGCGUGUACUGUUAAUUUGAGCGCUGUUGCAGGAUCACAUUAUAAUGAAUAAGAAGCUCUUUUUACAAAAAUUCUACACUUGAAAAAUGAAACGCGCGAUGCGUUUAUCGACCUAAUUAGGCGAGAAGGGUUUUUAUGUCUAAAGACAGCAAUAAAUUGUGUCAGUGUUAAAAUAUUCUUUCCUGUCAUGUUUAAAGUGGCGUUAAGGAAUAAUGCAUUUAAUUAUAGAAAAAAAGAAUUGUACAAAAAAGUAUUUGUUUACGUUAAUCAUGUUUUUCCUCAAUGUUUACAUAAUUUCUUCAAAGGACACCGUACACAAAAUAUAUCAUUUACAUUCGCUUUUUUUUCAUUUAACGACUCAACGCGUCAUUUUACGACGGAUGGUUGAAUGUGAUUUUAAAUAAAGCAGUGGCCAUAUAUAUAUAUAUCUAUAUAUAUACACACACAUAUAUAUACAUAUAUACAUAUAAAUAUAUAUUUAUGUAUAAAUAAAGACAAGGAGAUUUUAAGAAUAAGUCCAAUUCGUGUAAAUUUAAGUUGUACCGAUAGUAACGCAAAUUCGAGUAAGAAUAAUUUGUAUAAAUAAAUGUGUUGGAUCGUUCUAAUUCGAGACAGUGCGUCAUCCUUUCGUUCGCUAUGAAAUCAUAAUCAAUCAUCGAAGAAACCAUGCGUGAACUUCAGGAUAAUGCAUAAUUAUAAAAAAAAUAAACGCAUCGUCUCGAAUUCGUCAAGUAUACGUUGUUAUUCGCAAACAAGAAUGGGCAAACAUCAGUUCCUUCAACUUUAUCUUCCUUUUUCUUUACCGACUGCCUAUGUUAACCCAUUAAUUCCCAAAUAUCGAAAGUAUAUUAUUUUCAAGAUAGUACUUAUUGUAAACAAAAAUAUGCGCAAGUAAACUGCAUCGCCGAUAGAUGCAGGAACUUGCCCUGAGGCUUCGCGCUUUUAGGGCCUUUCGAAUUUUGUAUAAGUUAAUUAAAUCAAGUAUAAUAUCGCAUAUAAUGAACUAACGCGUGGUAAUGUAGACACGUGGCCAUACAGCGCAUGGCAAUAUGACGAAAGUUCGCUGUUGAUGGUUUUAGUAGUAUACAGUAUUGCUCAUAAUUAUAAAUGAAGAAGUUUGUGGCCGUAAAAGGCGUAGCAAACUGUUGGGUAUUAGUGGGUUAAUACGAAGUCCUACCUACGAGAGUUUUCUGUGUCGGAUCAGGAUCUUCGUAGUAGAAAAAUCGUUUGCCCAGUCUUGGAUCCGUAUUUCUAAGGUAAUUGUGUGCCAAGUCAAGGAAAUAAGCAUUUUAUAUAAUACGCUAAUACGUGAUCUUCGAAUAUUGUAAAGUAAGAAGAUUCGUACGAUUUCCUUGAAACGUGAAUCAGAAGAAAAAGGAACUUUCAUGUCAACUUGUCGGGAAGAACUACGUGUUACAUUCCUAUUUUGUACGCAGUUUUUCUAGCUGAAACACACCAACACGAUCUUUGCCGUCACCGAUAAUUCGCUGCGAAGCUCAAACAAAUCUCGUCAAUAAUUCGAAAAGCGUGUUAAAAAAAUAAGAGAAAGUUAUAUACGUAGAGCAAUUUAUACAUGCUUGAAAAUCCGUAAAAAAAGAACAUGCUUUUUGAAGUAUUGACGCGUUCGAAUGGAUCGUUCGAUGAGAGACGCUUCGAAUCUGAGCUUUCGAUGUCGGAACAGCAACGAGUACCUUUUAGGGACCGGACACUUUAGUAGCGAUCGAACGAUUCGCAUUUUUUUGCACUGAUAAUGUUAAGCUCAAUUAUUAAAGUUCGAAUAACAUCCACCUGGGCUACGAUAUUUUUGUCUAAAAAUAGCAAAGGGAAAAAACGCCGUUCACAUAUUUUAAGCAAGGAUAAAUUGAGUUUACGGAAGAAAGAAAUCUUUGGAUAAUUCAUCCAAUACAUUCACUUUUUAUAAACGCUCCAAUGGAAACUGUCGAGACGCAUACAUCUGAAGUACAAAGAUUAUAUAACGAAGAUCAUCUUCGAGGAAUAAAUAUCGCAAUCUUCGCCAAGAGUAUGCAAAAACAAGAAAUCGAUGUGUCGUUGAGGUUCGUGUACUUAAUUUCAACAUUAAUUUAAACGCUGGUAAAAAGCUACUUUUUAUGGGAAUCCGAACAUGAAGAGUGCAACGAGUUUGAAGACGUAGGAUCGUAUCGUUUGAAGGAAUCACGCUGGUGGUUCCUUAAGAACAAAAGAAUGUGAAGGGAAAAGGAAUAGUGUAUCUCUCGUUGUAACGAUUGUAUCUAUAUUUAUACUUGAAGUCAUGAGAGAAUAUCAGAGGUUGAUACACUCUUUAAAACUCCCGUGGUAGAGAUGUUCCUUUAACGACAAAAGGUCCUGAGAAAAUUAUUUUCAGAAUAUUUUGCAUUUUUAUUAUUAUUGGACAUUCAUAGCGCCUCGCUUUGUGGCAAAUUUUGAAAGUGCGUUUGUCUUUGAUAAGGGAGCAUUCCACCACGGCAGUUUUUGAACAUGUACCAGAAGUAGCCGGCGAGGAACUCAUACUGCUACGAUGCGUACAGCGUUGAGUCACAGAUUUCAAAUUUAGAAACUUAGAAACUUAGAUUGUUAGAAAGUUAGAAAUUUGGGAAUUUGGGAAUAAGACUUGGAGAUUUAAAUAUUAGGAAAUUUGAGAACUUGAGAAUUUAUGUGCACAGCGUCCUUGCAUUCACAAUUGUCUAUCAUAGACAUAUAUUGUAAUUAAAAUACACUUUUAGCAUUUUGCAUUGGAACUUUACUUCCCACUCCAGGUUAAGAGCACCCUUGAUAGGAUGCUAAACCAAACAGAGAUGCACCGAAAAAACUCUUUGUACGAAUUCUCUCAUGAAUUCAACUAUAAAGAAGGACGGAAAUAAGAGAGAAACCAAUAUACAAAUUAUGCUUAGUUUACAGAGUGAAGCUGUUUGUACGUUUCAGUGUUAUAUCGUGUAGCUGUGUAAGAUAUGGAAAAUUGUCGAAACAGAAGUGUAUCGAUUACUGUAUGUAUGUGUACUUUAAUCAGUGAUGCUUACGAUAUUAAAAUAGUUAUUAAUCGUCAUGGAUCGCGCGAAUCGACAUGUAUCGGUGUGUCAAAAAAAACAGAACAGAACAAGAACAGCAAAGAAAAGGAAAGACUAAGGCGAAAAUAAAUUAAAAAGAAAAAAAAACGAAAAAUUAUAUUUUGCCGUGCCAGACGAAAACAAAAGCUGCCGCCGCUAUCUUGUAGAACACGUAAUAAUAACAAUAUUCACGAAACCACGAUUAGUACAUUAUUAUAAUUCUUAUUAUUAUACUUCAAAAUAAUGUAUUCAGUAAAUUAUAUACAAAAUCAGCAGACCUGUUGCUCCGUUUUGGCCCCCAAGUCUCAUGUUUAAAUGUUCGAUUUUUUUUUAAUUAUUAAAUAGCGUUGGAAUACUUCGCGAGAAGAAACCCGGAACUAUUUUAAAUAUUUGGACUUAAUGGGUUGGAAGGUGCGAUCAAAUACCAUUUCACCGUGUCAUAACACCGAAAAUACUUAUCUCGUUAAAAAUUCGAAAGUUAUGGAAAUGUUCAAUGCAAAUGUAUUUAAAAAUUGACACAUUACUCUUUCUCAAUAAAUAUAUCCAAAAAGUUUAUUUAUAUUAUUAUAAAUAAACGUGCGAUUUGCAUUGCAGUACGGAGUUAUAAUUACUUCAUACCCCAUUAUUUCGUUAAUCCCAUUCGUUAGAAAAAAUUAAAUACAAUGUCAGUAGAAAGGUACGACAGAAGAAUUUAUUAAUUAUAGGCGGGAAUUGUGUCGUUUUUUGUUAUAUAUUUUGUAAGUUCCAUUCACGCGCUCGCAUGAAACCAGAGUGUAUAUCGUAGAAAAGUAAAAUUUCUUGAAAUCGUUUAACAAUAAAUUUCGUACGACUAGUAUACAUUUGCUUCUUUCUAUGGUACCGUUCGCUUUCACGAAAAUUCAUUCCACUCGAUGCUUAUUUUCAUUUGUACCGUUAUAUUACGUCAAACGUGAACGGCCUAACUUGGAUACACAAUCGAAGCUAUCCUCGUAACACCGUCGAUGAAAUUUCUUUUUUCUAAUAAUAGUAUGGAUUAACCCAAAUAAAGAUUUACCAAAAAUUCUAUGCAUCAAAAUACAAAAAACGUUCUUAAAUAUUAUUCUCCUUUGUGUCAAUUUUGAUAUUCAUUUAUAAGAAUUUGGAAUAUUAAAAGUAUUUGCAAGAUGAAAUUAUGUAGCCACGGCUGAAAUGAGACUCAGAUUGUUUUAUAAAAAAUUGAUUUCACACUUCAAAUCACCUCAUACUAAAUAAAAAAUGUAUAAACUUGUCGUAAACUGUUUUUACAAAGUUUUAAUUUGUUAAUUUGACCUUACUCCGCGAAAUAGCAUAACAUGUAACAGUACAAGACGCAAUUAUACAGCACGUGGCUGUGUAAUGUGAUUUUAGAUAUGCGUGACGAUACAUUUAUCACACUUCGUACAAUUUUAAAGGUUCACCCUGCAAACGUUCGCACGGCCCUGGCUAUAUGUCACAUAUUCAUAAAGAGAAUCGAAUGAAUUUGUUAUCCCCACCAAGUGGCGGUAUAACCAGUUGAAUAAGCGGCGGCAGCUCGACGAGCAGCAUUUGCUCGUGGAAUGUUAGUUUGUAAGUUUGAUUUGUUUGAGAGGACUGAUUAUUUAGCCGGUGAAAAGAAAGAAUCAAACAAGCUUGUAAGCACGUGAUAGGAAAUCAUUCGGUGACCGUAAUUUUCACCUGAUGAGUUUCACUUCUAACCUGAAUUUGUUGAGCUAGCUUCUAACAGUGGCAGCGUGUUUGUCCUCGAAGUACAUACUUUCUUAAUUUAAAAACUCGAACUGUGAGGAAAGAAAAGUCGUGAAGUAUUGAAAAUUUGAAAGAUAUCAUUCAUAUCUUAAUAAAAUUAUUGUCGGCAUCAAUUGUCAGGAAGCUAUAUUACACAAAUACCGUAAUAUUUGAAGAACGCCGUUUGAUGCGAAAUCAGUGACCGACCGGUAUCACGUGCGUUUUCAAGUGUAAAAGUAUUUCGUUUUGUCUAUACGUUGUUAUAG
rnacentral:misc_RNA from 1 species